rnacentral:piRNA from 1 species
CAGAAACUGUGAUGUGCUGUGUGAUGUGAC